rnacentral:rRNA from 1 species
CCUACGGGAGGCAGCAGUAGGUAAUAUUGCUCAAUGGGGGAAACCCUGAAGCAGCAACGCCGCGUGGAGGAUGAAGGUUUUCGGAUUGUAAACUCCUUUUGUUAGAGAAGAUACUGACGGUAUCUAACGAAUAAGCAACGUCUAACUCCGUGCCAGCAGCCGCGGUAAUACGGAGUGUGCAAGCGUUACUCGGACUCACUGGGCGUAAAGUGCGCGUAGGCGGGAUAGAAAGUCAGAUGUGAAAUCCUAUGGCUUAACCAUAGAACUGCAUUUGAAACUGUUAUUCUAGAGUAUGGGAGAGGUAGGUGGAAUUCUUGGUGUAGGGGUAAAAUCCGUAGAGAUCAAGAGGAAUACUCAUUGCGAAGGCGACCGGCUAGAACAUAACUGACGCUGAUGCGCGAAAGCGUGGGGAGCAAACAGGAUUAGAUACCCGUGUAGUC